rnacentral:rRNA from 1 species
AGUGAACGCUGGCGGCAUGCCUUACACAUGCAAGUCGAACGGCAGCGCGGGGCAACCUGGCGGCGAGUGGCGAACGGGUGAGUAAUAUAUCGGAACAUACCCUAGAGUGGGGGAUAACGUAGCGAAAGUUACGCUAAUACCGCAUACGCACUAAGGUGGAAAGUGGGGGAUCUUCGGACCUCAUGCUCAUGGAGUGGCCGAUAUCUGAUUAGCUAGUUGGUGAGGUAAAAGGCUCACCAAGGCGACGAUCAGUAGCUGGUUUGAGAGAACGACCAGCCACACUGGAACUGAGACACGGUCCAGACUCCUACGGGAGGCAGCAGUGGGGAAGUUUUGGUACAAAUGGGGGGCAACCCUGAUCCAGCAAUGCCGCGUGAGUGAAGAAGGCCUCGGUUGUAAGUA